CCACGAGGUGGGGCCGGCAGGGUUCGAAGCUCAAGGUUCGACUGGGCCCGAAGGGGCAGAACGUCGCCGCAGGCGACGGCCCGGAGGGCGGCGCGCAGCGCCGUAAUCCUGCCGGCCCAGCCA
rnacentral:sRNA from 1 species